rnacentral:rRNA from 1 species
AUUGAACGCUGGCGGCAUGCCUUACACAUGCAAGUCGAACGGCAGCGGGGGAGAAGCUUGCUUUUCCUGCCGGCGAGUGGCGAACGGGUGAGUAAUACAUCGGAACGUGCCCUGUAGUGGGGGAUAACUAGUCGAAAGAUUAGCUAAUACCGCAUACGACCUGAGGGUGAAAGUGGGGGACCGUAAGGCCUCAUGCUAUAGGAGCGGCCGAUGUCUGAUUGGCUAGUUGGUGGGGUAAAGGCCUACCAAGGCGAGGAUCAUGAACGGGUCUGAGAGGAGGAGCAGCCACACUGGGACUGAGACACGGCCCAGACGCCUACGGGAGGAAGCAGUGGGGAAUGUUGGACAAUGGGCGAAAGCCUGAUCCAGCAAUGCCGCGUGUGUGAAGACGGCCUUCGGGUUGUAAAGCCCUUUUGUCCGGAAAGAAAUGGCUCUGGUUAAUACCUGGGGUCGAUGACGGUACCGGAAGAAUAAGGACCGGCUAACUACGUGCCAGCCGCCGCCGUAACAC